UACGGAGGGUGCAAGCAUUAAUCGGAUUUAUUGGGCGUAAAGGGCGCGUAGGCUGGCUCGCAAGUCAGAUGUGAAAUUCCGGGGCUCAACCCCGGAGCUGCAUUUGAAACUGCGAGUCUAUAGAGGGAUGACGGAGAAAAUGGAAUUCCACGUGUAGCGGUGAAAUGCGUAGAUAUGUGGAAGAACACCAGUGGCGAAAGCGGUUUUCUAGUUAUCACCUGACGCUGAGGCGCGAGAGCAAGGGGAGCAAACAGG
rnacentral:rRNA from 1 species